rnacentral:rRNA from 1 species
UAGGGAAUAUUGCACAAUGAGCGAAAGCUUGAUGCAGCAACGCCGCGUGCGCGAUGACGGCCUUCGGGUUGUAAAGCGCUUUUCGGGGAGAUGAGGAAGGACAAUAUCCCCGGAAUAAGUCUCGGCUAACUACGUGCCAGCAGCCGCGGUAACACGUAGGCGGCAAGCGUUAUCCGAAUUUACUGGGCGUAAAGCGCGUGCAGGCGGUUCGGUAAGUUGGAUGUGAAAGCUCCUGGCUGAACUGGGAGAGGUCGCUCAAGACUGGCUGACUCGAGGAUGGUAGGGGAAGGUGGAAUUCCGAGUGUAGUGGUGAAAUGCGUAGAUAUCCGGAGGAACACCAGUGGCGAAGGCGGCCUUCUGGACCAUCACUGACGCUCAGACGCGAAAGCUAGGGUAGCAAACGG